AGUGAACGCUGGCGGCAGGCCUAAUACAUGCAAGUCGAACGGCAGCACGGCAGAGCUUGCUCUGUGGGUGGCGAGUGGCGGACGGGUGAGGAAUACAUGGGAAUCUGCCCAGUCGUGGGGGAUAACGUAGGGAAACUUACGCUAAUACCGCAUGCGCCCUUCGGGGGAAAGCCGGGGACCUUCGGGCCUGGCGCGAUUGGAUGAGCCCAUGUCGGAUUAGCUAGUUGGCGGGGUAAGUGGCCCACCAAGGCGACGAUCCGUAGCUGGUCUGAGAGGAUGAUCAGCCACACUGGAACUGAGACACGGUCCAGACUCCUACGGGAGGCAGCAGUAGGGAAUAUUGGACAAUGGGCGCAAGCCUGAUCCAGCCAUGCCGCGUGAGUGAAGAAGGCCCUCGGGUUGUAAAGCUCUUUUGUCCGGAAAAAAGCGCCGGGUUAAUACCCUGGUGUCCUGACGGUACCGAAGAAUAAGCACCGGCUAACUUCGUGCCAGCAGCCG
rnacentral:rRNA from 1 species